UACGUAGAUGGCGAGCGUUAUUCGGAUUUACUGGGCGUAAAGGGUCCGCAGGGGGCCUGUCAAGCCCGCCGUGAAACCCCGGGGCUCAACCCCGGGACUGCGGUGGGGACUGCCGGGCUAGAGUGUGUGAUGGGCAGACGGAACACCUGGUGUAGCGGUGGAAUGCGUAGAUAUCAGGUGGAACACCGAUGGCGAAGGCGGUCUGCUGGCACAUCACUGACCCUCAGGGACGAAAGCGUGGGUAGCGAACAGG
rnacentral:rRNA from 1 species